GCUCCUUCCAGAUGGAACUCAACUCGACCACGACCCUGCCCCUGCCCCUUUAAGAGCCGCCUAAUCAUGUGAUUGGUCACAUGACUCGGAGUGUUUCAGAGUGACGCUACGCUUGUUCCGAGGCAAUUUUGGUAAUAGGUAGCUGAAGAAAAUGGACAUCAGAGGUGCUGUAGAUGCUGCAGUUCCUACCAAUAUUAUUGCUGCAAAAGCGGCUGAAGUUCGAGCAAAUAAGGUCAACUGGCAAUCUUACCUUCAGGGCCAGAUGAUUUCCAGUGAAGAUUGUGAGUUCAUUAAAAAGUUUGAAGCUGCUCGUGCAGAAGAUAAACAGCGUAUCCUGGAUAAUGAAGGUCACCAGUGUGCCAAAACUUUCUUGAAUUUAAUGACCCACAUUUCCAAGGAGCAAACUGUGCAGUACAUUCUGACGAUGAUUGAUGAUAUGCUGCAGGAAAACCAUCAACGAGUCAACAUUUUCUUUGAUUACGCCAAAAAAACUAAGAACACUGCCUGGUCCUACUUCCUACCGAUGUUAAAUCGACAGGACCUAUUUACUGUUCAUAUGGCAGCAAGAAUCAUAGCAAAGUUGGCUGCUUGGGGCCGUGAAUUGAUGGAAGGAAGUGAUCUGAACUAUUAUUUCAACUGGAUUAAAACUCAGUUGAGUUCCCAGAAGUUGCGUGCUGUAGGGUCUGAAGCAGGAACUGUUUCUCCCAAUGAGAGUUCACAGUAUGUUCAAUGUGUGGCAGGUUGUCUACAGCUGAUGCUAAGAGUUAACGAAUACCGUUUUGCCUGGGUGGAAGCUGAUGGAGUGAACUGCAUUAUAGCUGUUAUAAACAAUAAAUGUGGCUUCCAGUUACAGUAUCAGAUGAUCUUCUCCUUCUGGUUAUUGGCCUUUAGUCCACAAUUAUGUGAACAUCUACGCAGACUGAAUAUUGUCCCAGCUUUAUCUGAUAUUCUUCAGGAGUCUGUGAAAGAAAAAGUAACCAGGAUCAUCCUGGCAACAUUUAGGAAUCUUCUGGAAAAAUCUGCGGAAAGAGAAACACAUCAGGAAUAUGCACUUGCAAUGAUCCAGUGCAAGGUUCUUAAACAGUUGGAGAAUCUUGAGCAGCAGAAAUACGAUGAUGAAGACAUUGCUGAUGACAUCAAAUUUCUACUGGAAAAGCUUGGAGAAAGUGUCCAAGAUCUUAGUUCCUUUGAUGAAUAUAGCUCUGAACUGAAGUCAGGACGUCUGGAGUGGAGCCCUGUUCACAAAUCAGAAAAAUUCUGGCGAGAAAAUGCUGCAAGAUUGAAUGAGAAAAAUUAUGAAUUACUGAAGAUUCUAACAAGACUUUUGGAAGUCUCUGAUGACCCGCAAGUCUUGGCAGUGGCUGCACAUGACGUUGGUGAAUAUGUGCGUCACUACCCUCGGGGAAAACGUGUAAUUGAGCAACUUGGAGGCAAACAACUUGUAAUGAACCAUAUGCAUCAUGAAGAUCAGCAAGUACGUUACAAUGCUCUUUUGGCAGUACAGAAACUGAUGGUCCACAACUGGGAAUAUCUUGGAAAACAACUACAGUCAGAGCAAGCUCCAACUGUCACCACAAGAAGCUGAAUUUUACCAAAACUUCUGCAAUCUGCAUUAAAAGUGUUCUUCCUUUGUUUAUGCAUCAAUCGUCUGAUAACUUGGUUUGGCAUCACAUCAGUUAGUCCUGCCGAAGGGUCUGGGCCCGAAACGUCGACUGCACCUCUUCCUAGAGAUGCUACCUGGCCUGCUGCGUUCACCAGCAACUUUGAUGUGUGUUGCUCGAAUUUCCAGCAUCUGCAGAAUUCCUCGUGACUGGCUAAUUAGUGGCGACUUUAAUCAGAAACAGAAUCAGGUUUAAUUUCACUAGUAUAUGUCAUGAAAUUUGACGUUUUGCAGUAGCAAUAUAUUGCAAUAUACUCAAACUAUAAAUUACAAUAAGAAAUAUAAACAGAAAAUUAAAUUAGUGGUGCACGAACAAAAAAAAGAAAAAUAGUGGUGCUAGAAAGUUUGUGAACCCUGUAGAAUUUUCCCUUCCUAUAAAUAUGACCUAAAAUAUGAUCAGAUCUUCACCUAAGUCCUAAAACUAGAUAAAGAGAACCCAAUUAAAUAAAUAACACAAAAAACAUUAUACUUUAUUUAUCGAGAAAAAUUAUCUAAAGAACUAAGUGUUCAUCAGUUCACAGCGAGGCUCCUGUAUCACUACCUUGAUGGGAGCAAUGAGAAGGGAACAUGGCCUGGAUAAUGGAGGGUCCUGAAUGACAGGUGCCACCUUUUUGAGGCAUCAUCUUAUGAAGAUGUCCUCAAUGCUCAGGAGGCUAGUGCUCAUGAAGGAGCUGGCUGAGUUUGCAAACUGUUUCUGCUACUAUUCAGUGGCUCCUCUGUACCAGACACUGAUGCAACCAGUUAGAAUGUGUUUCCUGUCUAACUGGAAGAUAGGUUUUGCAACAAUAUAAAGUAUAUGUAGACAAGUCACAUCAAAAUUCCUCCUUCCCAUUUAUAAAUUAUAGUGGAAAGGUUUUACUUUAGUUUUUAAAUGUAGAUGUAUAGUAGUGCUGAUACUAUACAUCUAAAAUUAAAGUUGAAAAUGAUCAGUGAAUCAAAUAACAAAAGUGAGAUGUCAAUUAUCAAAAGAUUUUUCUUUCUUCAAAGGUUCUGGGAGCACCAAUUUCUCAGAAAUCUUAACAGUUUAUUCUCGACUUUAGUGAUUAUUAUGUUCAUUAAACCCAGGACAUCCAUACUCCAAAAUAGCAACAAUACAAAUUUUGCCCAUUGUUCACUGUAAAACAUUGAUCAAGCAAUCUACUGUGAAACUGUCUUGUGUGCUUAAAAUUUACUGUAUUCAAAUCAAAGCUAUUAUGAGACAUCUUAGCUAUGAGGAAAUACUGUUGAAAGAAUAAACAAGAAGGAAGAUCUACAGUGUCUCAAUUCUUUCAAAUGCCAUGCUAGCAUGAAAAAAUAAUCAGGAACAGAAAAUAAACUUUGGUGUUCAACAAGCACUUAAUUAGGUUGCAAGAAUAUCUAUUAAAUGCCUUUGAAGUGCAGUACCUUUAGAAAGAUCAGGGUAGCAUACAGA